rnacentral:rRNA from 1 species
GAUGAACGCUGGCGGUAUGCCUUACACAUGCAAGUCGUACGAGAGUUUUUAACUCAAGUGGCGGACGGGUGAGUAACACGUAAGAAUUUACCUUUAGGAGGGGGAUAACAACUGGAAACGGUUGCUAAUACCCCAUAUGCUUUCGAGUGAAAUGGGUUUCCGCCUAAAGAAAAGCUUGCGGCUGAUUAGCUUGUUGGUGAGGUAAUGGCUCACCAAGGCGACGAUCAGUAUCUGGUUUGAGAGGAUGAUCAGCCACACUGGAACUGAGACACGGUCCAGACUCCUACGGGAGGCAGCAGUGGGGAAUAUUGGACAAUGGGCGCAAGCCUGAUCCAGCCAUGCCGCGUGUGUGAAGAAGGCCUUCGGGUUGUAAAGCACUUUUGUUGGGAAAGAAAAGCGGUCGGUUAAUACCCGGUCGUACUGACGGUACCCAAAGAAUAAGCACCGGCUAACUUCGU